rnacentral:rRNA from 1 species
UGAGGAAUUUUGGACAAUGGGCGAAAGCCUGAUCCAGCAAUGCCGCGUGUGUGAAGAAGGCCUUCGGGUUGUAAAGCACUUUUGUCCGGAAAGAAAUCCUUGGCUCUAAUACAGUCGGGGGAUGACGGUACCGGAAGAAUAAGCACCGGCUAACUACGUGCCAGCAGCCGCGGUAAUACGUAGGGUGCAAGCGUUAAUCGGAAUUACUGGGCGUAAAGCGUGCGCAGGCGGUUUGCUAAGACCGAUGUGAAAUCCCCGGGCUCAACCUGGGAGCUGCAUUGGUGACUGGCAGGCUAGAGUAUGGCAGAGGGGGGUAGAAUUCCACGUGUAGCAGUGAAAUGCGUAGAGAUGUGGAGGAAUACCGAUGGCGAAGGCAGCCCCCUGGGCCAAUACUGACGCUCAUGCACGAAAGCGUGGGGAGCAAAACAGGAUUAGAUACCCUGGUAGUCCACGCCCUAAAACGAUGUCAACUAGUUGUUGGGGAUUCAUUUCCUUAGUAACGUAGCUAACGCGUGAAGUUGACCGCCUGGGGAGUACGGUCGCAAGAUUAAAACUCAAAUGAAUUGACGGGGUCAUAGCUGUUUCCU